rnacentral:rRNA from 1 species
AGCUCCAAUAGCGUAUAUUAAAGUUGUUGCAGUUAAAAAGCUCGUAGUUGGAUUUCUGGUUGGUGUUCUACGGUCUCGCGCAAGCGGUGAACUGUUGAUGCUGACCUUCCUCCUGAUGUCUGCGUUGUUCUUAAUUGGAUGGCGUAGAAGUUGGGACCUUUACUUUGAAAAAAUUAGAGUGUUCAAAGCAGGCCUUUGCUUGAAUACAUUAGCAUGGAAUAAUGGAAUAGGACUUGUGUUCUAUUUUGUUGGUUUCUAGGACAUAAGUAAUGAUUAAUAGGGACAGUUGGGGGCAUUAGUAUUUAAUUGUCAGAGGUGAAAUUCUUGGAUUUAUGAAAGACUAACUACUGCGAAAGCAUUUGCCAAGGAUGUUUUCAUUAAUCAAGAACGAAAGUACGCA